GGGGACGCGGGCUGCGAUGCCCGAGUCCCACCUCGACCAGACCGUCCAAUCUCUUGCGCAACUCCGGAGAAAUGGAGGAACCCCUCCGGCCCUUCUUUCCCACGAGGUUUCCGGGAUGCUGGACCUCGAGCCCCAGGACUUCCCCUCUAAUACUCCGGCAGCGGUAGGGAGGGGGUGGCCACACGUGGUGACCCCCACCGGGUCCUGUGGGCUGCUGCUGUUGCAGGGGUCCAGGAGGGGAUGCCCUGAAACCGGCCGUCUGGGAGUUUGAAGUCGCCGACCUGAGGACGGAAGCCACAAGUGAGGAAACACAAAGUGCCCUAUAGCAAAAACCUC